rnacentral:rRNA from 1 species
CAAACCAAAGCUGGCGACCGGCGCACGGGUGAGUAACACGUAUCCAACCUGCCUCAUACUCGGGGAUAGCCUUUCGAAAGAAAGAUUAAUAUCCGAUAGCAUAUAUUUCCCGCAUGGGUUUUAUAUUAAAGAAAUUCGGUAUGAGAUGGGGAUGCGUUCCAUUAGUUUGUUGGGGGGUAACGGCCCACCAGACUACGAUGGAUAGGGGUUCUGAGAGGAAGGUCCCCCACAUUGGAACUGAGACACGGUCCAA